UAGGGGUAUCGCCAAGUUGGUAAGGCACCAGGUUUUGAUCCUGGCAUCCGUUGGUUCGAGUCCAGCUACCCCUGCCAU
rnacentral:tRNA from 1 species